CUCCUACGGGUGGCAGCAGCCGAGAAUAUUGGACAAUGGGCGAAAGCCUGAUCCAGCGACAUUGCGUGGAGGACGAAGACGUUCGCGCCGUAAACUCCUUUUCUGGAGGAAGAAGUUAUUGACGGUACUCCAGGAAUAAGCGGGGGCUAAUUCUGUGGCAGCAGCAGCGGUAAUACAGAACCCGCGAGCGUUAUCCGGAUUUAUUGGGCGUAAAGUGUUCGUAGGCGGUUUGGAAAGUCUGAUAUUAAAUACCCGGGCUCAACCCGGGACGUGUAUUGGAUACUUCCAGACUAGAAGAUGUUAGGGGCUAUCGGAACGCACGGUGUAGGGGGGGAAAUCCCGUUGAUAUCGUGCGGCACCCCCAAAAGAGAAGGGCAGAUAGCUGGGGCUAUUCUCCCCGCUGAGGAACGAAAGCGUGGGUAGCGAAAGGGAUUAGAUACCCUUGUAGUCCACGCCCUAAACGAUGGCCUCUGGUUGCUUGAAGUGUGGCCCCUCCAAGUGGGGAAGCUAACGCGUUAAGUGUCCCGCCUGGGAAGUACGGCCGCAAGGCUAAAACUCAAAGGAAUAGACGGGGGCUCACACAAGCGGUGGAG
rnacentral:rRNA from 1 species